AGGGGGCGAGCGUUGUCCGGAAUUACUGGGCGUAAAGGGUGCGUAGGCGGCGUCUUAAGUUGGAUGUGAAAUACCCAGGCUUAACUUGGGGGGUGCAUUCAAAACUGGGAUGCUAGAGUGCAGGAGAGGGAAGCGGAAUUCCUAGUGUAGCGGUGAAAUGCGUAGAUAUUAGGAGGAACACCAGUGGCGAAGGCGGCUUUCUGGACUGUAACUGACGCUGAGGCACGAAAGCGUGGGGAGCAA
rnacentral:rRNA from 1 species